UCGGAAUGUAGCGCAGUUGGUAGCGUAUGUGUUUUGGGAACUCAAGGCCACAGGUUCAAAUCCUGUCAUUCCGAGC
rnacentral:tRNA from 1 species